CUGGUGUGGAGCUCAGGGGACAGCAUGGACGCGGUGGCCGCCGGCCAGGGCCCACCCGCCACCUGUUUGUGGCUAUUCGUUCGUUUUUUUCGUUUCGUUUAAUUGCUCCGAGCUAAGACUAUUGUCUCCUUCGUGGCUGGGGAAAAAACCGAAAUAAUAAUAUCUCACGACGUGGGAAAACUACCUGACAUUGGAAUGUGUCAGUGUCCUUGAGGAAUUUACUGGGCCGCGGCCGUGCCAGCUCACUGCCCUACCGCCUCCAGCAGCUCAUGAGCCCAGUGGGGGAGAACUUGCUUCCCAACCCUUGGCAAAAAACCUGUGGUCUCCUGCUCUAGAUGGCAACAGCCUCCUUCCUGGUCCCUGCUAUAUGCUGUGGUCGCCUGCCCACUGACACCUUCGGCGGCUCCCUGUGUCCCUCAAAGCCAGAGUUCUCACAGCUGUGAUGACCAGGUCCACACUGCCUUCCCUCGUGGACUUGGGUCCAGCUCUGGGUCCCACCUCAGGGCAGUGGCCCUGGUUGUUCCCUCCACCUGGAAUGCUCUUCCUCAGUCCUCAGCCUGCCUCACCCGUGUAGAUCCUGGCCCAGAUGUCACUAUACUGACCAUUCUCUAUAAGGCAGUGCCCCUCCCCUCACCCCUGCCUCCCAGCCUCGCUGUUCUCAGACAUUUACGGGGGCCAGCCUCGCUAACACUCCAGGAGAGCAGGGCCUUCCCUGGUAUGUCCGCUGAUAUACGCACACCCAGCAUGAGAAGACAAGCGCGUCCAGAGGCGGCAGGAUAGGCAGACUGUGUCGGCACGACGGCUGGGCGCCAGGCUAGGGGCGGGCAGGAAAGGUUCCCCUAGUGGAAUGGCAGCAACGCUUCCCAGGUCCACCCUGGCUCCCGCACUUUCCACAUCCUGCAGGUCGGCCAGGUGUGGCCUGCUCUGACCCCUCGCAGGAAGGAUUUUGUUGGGUACGUAGGGUGGCCGUCCACCCAGUGCUUAAAAGGAACACUGGGAGCUGGGAGGGCAGUGCUGCUGGUCAUGCAGCCAGCCCCCAACAAACUGGGACUCAGCGAGUCACGAUGCGUGGCAGCCCUUCCCAGAGCUCUGCCCCUUCAUUCAACAAAUCUUUGAUGAGCAUUUUCCGGCCUUCUGUGACGCUGUGGCAGGAUCACAAGGUGAUGGGGUGGUGAGAGGUGGACACCAAGCUUGGCCUGGUGGGAGGCUGCAGCUCAGCACAGCUGGGCACUGACGCCAGCUGAAUCCUGACUGGGACUCCUCACCUGUGUACCCACAUCCCACUGCCUGCACUGUGAUUCCCCCACCUGGGUAUCCAGAAUCCCCUCCACCUGGGCACCCCCCGAAUGUGACCCCCCACCUGUGUAUCCAGAAUCCACACCCUCCCGGGCACCCCCACUCAUGGUGACCCCCCAACCUGGGCAUCCAGAAUCCCCUUCACCAGGGCACCACCCUCCACGCUGUGAUCCCCGACUUUGGUAUCCAGAGUCCCCACCCCCAGGGCACUGUGAUCCCCCACCUGGAUAUCCCCCAUCCACGUAUCCCCAUCGCUGCUCUCCCAGGACCUCUGAAGCCUCGUUGGGUGGGUCCCAGGACCUGCAGGAGUAAGUGCCCUGCAGCGUUCCGCUUUUGCAUUGUCUGUUUGUGUGGUUAGAGGCCGGAGAACACCAGGUCCCCAAUGGGGACACGUGGAGGUGUCCCCACAGUUUUUCUCUGGGGCACUCAUGGCCUGGAGUAACCUUCUUUUUUGGCCUAGAUGAGCUAUAACGGUCUGCACUUCACAGCUUCUGGAAAGCCCGCCACACAGCCCUGGAACCCCAGAGCUGUGCCAGAUGGUCACUGUCUUGGUUCCGGAGGGGACGCUGGUGUCAGGACACUGUCAGCCACCCUGCGGAGUGAUGCGGCCAGGAACAGGCAGAUACCUCCAGGGCCCAAGGAAGGAAAUGCAAGGGUCAUGAGCAGUGGAGGCGACAGGAGCUACCAGUGAGACACUAGCAAGCAGUGAUGAGCUCCACAGAGAUGGAACGGCCUUGGGGGACACUGACAGCAGGGCCUGCCAGGAGGAGCCUCAGCACAUUGGGGCGACAAGGGGCCUUGUGACCGGGAUGGGGUCCUUGGGAAGGAGCACACACAAAUCAUCAAGCACCAAGGCCCUGGGGCAGGCAUCAACGACUGUAUGGAUGUGGGCUCCACAUCCAGCGCAGAGCCCAAUGCAGGAGUUGAACUCAGACCCUGAGGUCGAGACCUGAGCUGAGAUCGAUUCAGAUGCUUAACCGACUGAGCUCCCCAGGCGCCCGAUUCUCUACCUUCUGAGCACCCAAGCUGGCUCAUGGAUCCACAUGGGGAGUUCCAACAAGGGUUGCUUCUGGUCCCCUUUGAGAGCCACGCCCACCCCCCUGCCCCUCACCCCUGCCCUACCCUGUGCUGGCAGCAACCACUCAUCCGCCCUCAUUCCUAAAACUAUGUCGUCUCAGUAUCGCACAAAGGGAGUCAGGCGGCGAGUAACCUGCUGAGAUCGCUGUUCUCCUCGUGUCCUUGUAUUGAUUGCCAAUAGUUGUGGUAGAAGCAAGAAGAGUUGAUGUUGCAGAUGAAAUCAGAAGGCAGUCUGCUGGAGAAUUCCCUCUCGCCUCGGGGAGGUCUGCCUUUUGUGCUCUUCAGGCCUUCAACUGAUUGGAUGAGGCCCACCAACAUUAUAGUGGGCAAACUUCACUCAAAGUCCACCAAUUUAAAUGUAACUGUUGGGGCACCUGGGUGGCUCAGUGCGUUAAAGCCUCUG